AGCGAACGCUGGCGGCAGGCCUAACACAUGCAAGUCGAACGAACUCUUCGGAGUUAGUGGCGGACGGGUGAGUAACACGUGGGAACGUGCCUUUUGGUUCGGAAUAACUCAGGGAAACUUGUGCUAAUACCGAAUGUGCCCUUCGGGGGAAAGAUUUAUCGCCAUUAGAGCGGCCCGUGUCUGAUUAGCUAGUUGGUGAGGUAACGGCUCACCAAGGAGACGAUCAGUAGCUGGUCUGAGAGGAUGACCAGCUACACUGGGACUGAGACACGGCCCAGACUCCUACGGGAGGGAGCAGUGGGGAAUCUUGCGCAAUGGGCGAAAGCCUGACGCAGCCAUGCCGCGUGAAUGAUGAAGGGCUUAGGAUUGUACAAUUCUCUCACCGGGGACGAUAAUGACGGUACCCGGUGAAGAAGCCCCGGCUAACUUCGUG
rnacentral:rRNA from 1 species